ACCCGGUUAGUGCAGUGGUUAGCACGCGGCUCUUAUACCCCUUUCGAAAGAAACAGGUCAUGCCGAAACGCCAGUUCAAACCUGGCACUGGGUA